rnacentral:rRNA from 1 species
GAUGAACGCUGGCGGCGUGCCUAAUACAUGCAAGUCGAGCGAACAGACGAGGAGCUUGCUCCUCUUACGUUAGCGGCGGACGGGUGAGUAACACGUUGAUAACCUACCUAUAAUACUGGUAUAACUUCGGGAAACCGGAGCUAAUACCGGAUAAUAUAUUGAACCGCAUGGUUCAAUAGUGUAAGCCGCUUUUUCUGUCACUUAUACAUGGAUCCGCUCCGCAUUAGCUAGUUGGUAAGGUAACGGCUUACCAAGGCAACGAUUCGUAGCCGACGUGAGAGGGUGAUCGGCCACAAUGGAAGUGAGACACGGUCCAGACUCCUACGGGAGGCAGCAGUAGGGAAUCUUCCGCAAUGGGCGAAAGAAUGACGGAGCAAAGCCGCGUGAGUGAUGAAGGACUACGGAUCGUAAAACUCUGUUAUUAGGGAAGAAAAAAGGUGAAAGUAAAUAUGAACGUAAUGACGGUACCUAAUCAGAAAGCAACGGCUAACUACGUG